rnacentral:misc_RNA from 1 species
GAUGAAGAACGUAGCGAAAUGCGAUACGUAAUGUGAAUUGCAGAAUUCAGUGAAUCAUCGAUUCUUUGAACGCACAUUGCGCCCUCUGGUAUUCCGGAGGGCAUGCCUGUCCGAGCGUCAUUGCUGCCCUCAAGCACGGCUUGUGUGUUGGGCCCCGUCCUCCUUCCGGGGGACGGGUCCGAAAGGCAGCGGCGGCACCGCGUCCGGUCCUCAAGCGUAUGGGGCUUUGUCACUCGCUUUGUAGGCCUGGCCGGCGCUUGCCGAUCAACCAAACUUUUUAUCAGGUUGACCUCGGAUCAGGUAGGGAUACCCGCUGAACUUAAGCAUAUCAAUAAGCGGAGGA